UACAGAGGUCUCAAGCGUUGUUCGGAUUCACUGGGCGUAAAGGGUGCGUAGGUGGUGAGGUAAGUCGGAUGUGAAAUCUCGGAGCUCAACUCCGAAAUGGCAUUGGAAACUACCUUGCUCGAGGGUUGGAGGGGGGACUGGAAUACUUGGUGUAGCAGUGAAAUGCGUAGAUAUCAAGUGGAACACCAGUGGCGAAGGCGAGUCCCUGGACAACUCCUGACACUGAGGCACGAAAGCUAGGGGAGCAAACAGG
rnacentral:rRNA from 1 species